GCAUAUCAAUAAGCGGAGGAAAAGAAACCAACAGGGAUUACCUCAGUAACGGCGAGUGAAGCGGUAACAGCUCAAAUUUGAAAGCUAGCCCGUCCCGGGUUCGCGUUGUAAUUUGCAGAAGAUGCUUCGGGUGGGGCCCCGGUCUAAGUUCCUUGGAACAGGACGUCGCAGAGGGUGAGAAUCCCGUAUGUGACCGGGCGCCUCCGCCCAUGUGAAGCUCUUUCGACGAGUCGAGUUGUUUGGGAAUGCAGCUCAAAAUGGGUGGUAUAUUUCAUCUAAAGCUAAAUAUGGGCCAGAGACCGAUAGCGCACAAGUAGAGUGAUCGAAAGAUGAAAAGCACUUUGGAAAGAGAGUUAAACAGUACGUGAAAUUGUUGAAAGGGAAGCGCUUGCAACCAGACUUGCGCGCGGGCGAUCACCCGGGCUUCUGCCCGGGGCACUCGCCCGCGCUCAGGCCAGCAUCGGUUCUGGUGGUGGGACAAAGGCCGGGGGAACGUAGCUCCCUUCGGGGAGUGUUAUAGCCCCCGGUGCAAUGCCGCCCACCGGGACCGAGGACCGCGCUCCGGCUAGGAUGCUGGCGUAAUGGUUGCAAGCGACCCGUCUUGAAACACGGACCAAGGAGUCUAACAUCUAUGCGAGUGUUUGGGUGUCAAACCCAUACGCGCAAUGAAAGUGAACGGAGGUGAGAACCCUGAAGGGUGCAUCAUCGACCGAUCCUGAUGUCUUCGGAUGGAUUUGAGUACGAGCAUAGCUGUUGGGACCCGAAAGAUGGUGAACUAUGCGUGAAUAGGGUGAAGCCAGAGGAAACUCUGGUGGAGGCUCGCAGCGGUUCUGACGUGCAAAUCGAUCGUCAAAUUUGCGUAUAGGGGCGAAAGACUAAUCGAACCAUCUAGUAGCUGGUUCCUGCCGAA
rnacentral:rRNA from 1 species